rnacentral:rRNA from 1 species
UCGAGAAUUUUUCACAAUGGGCGCAAGCCUGAUGGAGCGACGCCGCGUGGGGGAUGAAGGGCUUCGGCUCGUAAACCCCUGUCAUUUGCGAACAAGGGCGCCGACCUAAUACGUCGUCGCUUGAUAGUAGCAGAAGAGGAAGGGACGGCUAACUCUGUGCCAGCAGCCGCGGUAAUACAGAGGUCCCAAGCGUUGUUCGGAUUCACUGGGCGUAAAGGGUGCGUAGGUGGUGGUUUAAGUCGGGUGUGAAAUCUCCGGGCUCAACCCGGAGCAUGCGCCCGAAACUGAUCCGCUAGAGGAUGGGAGGGGAGACUGGAAUUCUCGGUGUAGCAGUGAAAUGCGUAGAUAUCGAGAGGAACACCGGUGGCGAAGGCGAGUCUCUGGACCAUUCCUGACACUGAGGCACGAAAGCCGGGGGAGCAAACAGG